AACUGAAUCAUGGGGGCGGGUUUUUCGUAUGCUCUUCUCGUGAUAGUAAGUCUCACGAGUUCGUUAUAAAAGGCAGUUCCCCUGCACAUGCUCUCUUGCCUGCUGUCAUGCAACGUGUCUUUGCUCCUCCUUCACCUUCCGCCAUGAUUGUGAGGCUUCCCCAGCCAUGUGGAAACAUAUUCGCAGAGCACCCACUAGGUGCCAGUAAAUGUAUGAGAAGUCCUGUGGAAUAAGACUGAAGUUGUCCUUGCCUUCAAGCAACUUGCAAUUGCCUAAGAACACAGUUUAAAACCACAAAACUAAGCCUUGGAAAUCACAUGCUGUCAUUUCUGCGAUCGGUCAUAACCAGUCCUGAUUCCAUGUUAGAGGAGACUACAUAAGGACACAGGUACCAGAAGAUGAAAAAUUUGGAGUCUAGUGAAAAGAAGUGACUUGCUCAAAAUCACACAGCACAUGAAGAACAGAGCCUCUAUGAUGAAUUUCUUGACAGCUGAUAUAAGUCUUUUGAGGUACAGCCUGGCACAAAAAGGAUGAGAUUUGUGGGCAGAAUUUUGGAAGAAUAUCUCCCGAGAGAACAUUCAGGACAGAUUGCACUGCUUUGGAGAGCUGGUGAUGAAAUCCGGCCAUUGAAUUACACUGCACUAUAAACUUCAUUUGUUCUUGGGUGCAUAGUGAUUUGCUAUAAUAAUGAUCAUCCAUUUGCCAGACAGCUGAGAUUUUUUAAAAGCUUGAUUGCUUUUGGCAUGGCAUUAUUAGUCCUGGAAGAAGGCAGCACAUUUGUAGCAAUUCUCAGCUUGAGCAAACUAGAAUAUUCACCUCCCACAAAUGCUGGCCAUUUAAGAUCUGUGUGUUAGACUUUGGCAUUUUUUCUAGCAAUUCUACAACAGCAUACACACUUUUAUUUUUCAUUAACACCAUUGUGAAUAUGCCCAUCUCUAAAAUUUCAAGGGGGUUCACUUAAGCUACUGAGUUUUAUGGACAGAAGGGCCAAGAAAAGUCCCCAAAGAAGAGUGCAUGCUGUCAAUUGCCAAUUAUUUUUUUUUCUAAUGAAAGCCAAACAAUUCCAGACAAACCCUUUUCUAAGAAAUGAACUACAUAUCUGGAUCCAAAUAAAUACUCAUCUGAUAAGAAUCUAAAAGCUCUACUGAAUUACAGUGGAUGAGAACAUGAUGAUGGUGAUUCUUUGAAGAUUACUGAGGAAAUCAACUCUCAUGUCUGAUUCUGAUACUUUUAUAGUCCAUCCAUGUUGAAAAUGUCUAUGGAAUGAUUCUGUUGUACCUUGAGAAAUGAAAUUCAUAGGCAUGGAUUCUCUCACACAGCAACUUUAUACACAAAGAUGAGAAUAGAAGAAAGGUCAUUUCCAAAGAAAGUGACAUUUAUUCUGUAUUCACUGAAAAGCCAAAAGAAUUUUCUCAUUCACCCAUACCGACAGAGCCCUACAUCUCCCCGAGAAGAGGUGAAAGAGACUGCUCCUAUCUGCUUCUGCAUCAAACUUCAGGCUCAAGACCUGUCCAGAAAAAAAAAUGUCUUCUUUCAGGGAUGAACUGCUGUCCUCAUCAGACGCCUUAUUUUGUUUAGAAUUCAAGCUCACUUGACAGGUUAUUGUGAAGAUUAAAUGAAUUAAUACAUGUGAAGCAACUGUAACAACUCUUGACAUGCGUGGGCUGGACUUCCAGAAGAAACGUUGUCAGAACUCUGCCCAACUGAAAACAA
rnacentral:lncRNA from 1 species